UACAGCGGUCUCAAGCGUUGUUCGGAUUCAUUGGGCGUAAAGGGUGCGUAGGUGGCGCUGUAAGUCGGGGGUGAAAUUUCGGAGCUUAACUCCGAAACUGCAUUCGAUACUGCGGUGCUUGAGGACUGGAGAGGAGACUGGAAUUCAUGGUGUAGCAGUGAAAUGCGUAGAGAUCAUGAGGAAGACCAGUGGCGAAGGCGGGUCUCUGGACAGUUCCUGACACUGAGGCACGAAGGCCAGGGGAGCAAACGGG
rnacentral:rRNA from 1 species